rnacentral:rRNA from 1 species
GAUGAACGCUGGCGGCGUGCCUAAUACAUGCAAGUCGAGCGAACAGACGAGGAGCUUGCUCCUCUGACGUUAGCGGCGGACGGGUGAGUAACACGUGGAUAACCUACCUAUAAGACUGGGAUAACUUCGGGAAACCGGAGCUAAUACCGGAUAAUAUAUUGAACCGCAUGGUUCAAUAGUGAAAGACGGUUUUGCUGUCACUUAUAGAUGGAUCCGCGCCGCAUUAGCUAGUUGGUAAGGUAACGGCUUACCAAGGCGACGAUGCGUAGCCGACCUGAGAGGGGUGACCGCCACCAUGGGACCGGACACCGCGCCAGGCCCCGGCGGGGAGGCACAGGGGGGAAUCCGCCCGAAGGGGGGAAAGGCCGACGGGCGCACCGCGGGGGGAGUGAGAAGGUUUUUGGGACCGAAAAACUUUUUUAUGGGGGAAAAAAAAAUGUGAAAGUAAAAUUGCCCGUCUGAGGGGUACUAAAAAAGAAACCAGCGCCGACCUCCGG